GCACUGCUCAGUAACACGUGGACAACCUGCCCUGAGGACUGGAAUAAUCCCGGGAAACUGGGGGUAAUUCCAGAUAUGUCAGAACUCCUGGAAUGGGUUCUGGCAGAAAGGCUCCGGCGCCUCAGGAUGGGUCUGCGGCCUAUCAGGGUAGUAGUGGGUGUAACGUACCUACUAGCCUACGACGGGUACGGGUUGUGAGAGCAAGAGCCCGGAGAUGGAUUCUGAGACAUGAAUCCAGGCCCUACGGGGUGCAGCAGGCGCGAAAACUUUACAAUGCGGGCAACCGCGAUAAGGGGACCUCGAGUGCUGGGUUACAAACCUGGCUGUUGGGCUGCCUAAAAAGCAGUCUAUAGCAAGGGCCGGGCAAGACCGGUGCCAGCCGCCGCGGUAACACCGGCGGCUCGAGUGGUAACCGCUAUUAUUGGGUCUAAAGGGUCUGUAGCCGGCCGACUAAGUCUCUUGGGAAAUCUGGCAUCUCAAGUGUCAGGCUGCCAGGGGAUACUGGUCGGCUUGGGACCGGGAGAGGUGAGAGGUACCUCGGGGGUAGGGGUGAAAUCUUGUAAUCCUCGAGGGACCACCAGUGGCGAAAGGCGUCUCACC
rnacentral:rRNA from 1 species